rnacentral:lncRNA from 1 species
GAAAAAGGAUCUGAGUUCCUCUUUGACUCUCCUGAAAGAGUUUUAUAGAAGAGGUGACAGAAGCCAGGAGGUGGCUGUGUGCCACUGUAACUGAGACAAGCAUGUCCUCCUCUGGCUGGCCUCUGGGACCAAGGCUCUUUACUUUCUCUCUUCCCCAGCAUAGGAUUCCUGGAGAAGUAUCAAUUCUUUAGGAUCCAUUGUAUCAGGGUCUAGCUUUCAAUAUUCUGAAUUCAAAAGGGAGAGAGAUUCCUCUUUAGAAUGUCUGGUCAGGGCAUCAGCAGAGGGUUGUGGAUAAUGCUGAGUGCUUGCCCAGCAGGAGGGGAAGCCUUGGUUUGGUUCCAAGCACUGAAAAAUAGUAGAGAUGUCCAUGGGUUUUUUGUUUGUUUGUUUGUUUUUGUUUUUAAUACAGCUAAUUACUGUUUAUAAGAAACAUCCUGGGAGAAACUGCAGAUAAUACCAGCAAAGAGAAUUAUGGAGCUGGGGUCAGGUCCAGGUGCAGUUCUCUGAGAUUCUGAACCCUGUGGAUGUGCCCUUUUCACAAAAAAUCACAUAUACCCAAAGGAACUAAGUGUGAUGCUGGCUGACACCUCAGGGUGGACAGCCACGCCUCAUGUAAGCCAUACUCUAAAGCCCUGUCCCCGCUGAGACUCCAUAGCCUCAAGAACGUCUUGAAGACAAGGUCAUCUGUCUACACCUGAACCUUAAAGUCUCGUCAGAAAAGAAAAAAGGACGCCUUAACUCCUGAAACUCAAUCUCUUGGUCUGGUUUCUGAGUCUCGGGGGCUCCUCGGGACCCUGUGCCCCUUAGGGGUCUGGAGUCUUUCAGUAUGUGGUUCUACAAAGGAAGAACCAAGUCCAGAACCCUGGGAAAGCUGGGCUUCUAAUUCUGAUCGCUGUGGAAUAUUCUUUAGGAUCUUUGGAAGGGAAGAAUAGCAAUGGUUCCAAGCAGCUCCCUGAUUUGCUUUCCUCCAGUCAGACCAGAUCUCCGAAUGUCACUGCUUAAGAAGACAAUGUCAGCUGCAGAUAAAGUUGGCAGAGCUGAGUGGUGCCCCCCUGCCUUCAGAGGGUUCAGGGUUCAGACCCCAAGAAAAGUGCAAACAAAAUAUAGAGGCACCGUUUGGAGACUGUCCCUGCUACAGUUUGGGGACGGCAUCACACUGGACAUGCGGCCUUGCCUUCUGAUGUGGGAAAGACUGCUUGAUGAAGAACUCUCAGUUAUUUCUUCAGCACCAUGUCUGCCUGCAUGCCACUAUGCUUCAAACCCUAAUGGUAAUGGAAUAACCCUCUGAAACUGUAAGCAAGCCCCCAAUUAAAUGAUUUCUUUUAUAAGAGUUGCCAGCCAGGUGGUGGUGGCACAUGCUUUUAAUCCCAGCACUCAAGAGGCAGAGGCAAGCAGAUCUCUGUGAGUUCGAGGCCAGUCUGGUCCACAGAGUGAGUUCCAGGACAGCCUCCAAAGCAAUACAGAGAAACCCUGUCUCGAAAAACAAAAACAAAAAACAAACAAACAAACAAAAAAACAAGAAAAAAGGAAAAACAAAGUUGCCCUGGUCAUGGUGUCUCUUCACAGCAAUAAAACACUGACUAAGACAGGGUCAUAGGUUUUUGAGAGCAUAGGAAACCAGGUAGAAAAAUCUUAGCUUUGAUUGGCAUUGGAACCAGACUCUUGCUUUUUAGAUGUGUCUUGCAGUGUCACCCACAGUGGCCUCAAAUUCUGGAUCGUCCUGCUUCAAUCCCCAAAGGGCUUACCCAAGGCAUGGACCACCAGACCUGGCUUGGAAGAUCCAAUAGGACAGGACUUGAAAAGAAUGUUCUGGGCUGGACCCAAGAAAAGGAGAUUAAAGUCAGAGGUACGGUGCCUAGUGUAACAGCUGGGACCAAGACAGCUCAGAUGUGAUAGAGGAAGGAUGUCAGAAUGGACACUUCCAUAAAAACUGAGCAAGGGGCUGGAAAACUGGUCCCCUGGUUAAAAGCACAACCUAUUCUUGCAGACGGACCUGAUUUCAGAUCUCAGCACCCACACCAGGUGACUCACAGACACCUGCAACUCCAGUUCCAAGGGUAUCGGAUGCCUUUGACUCAGGGUACCUGCAAGCAUGUGCACAUACCUCACCCACCCCCAAGACAUGCUAACAUACACAUAAUCAAACAAUAAUCAUUUGUUUUAAUCUAGGGGAAAAAAGAGAGGUAUGAUGACCUGGCUUGUUACAGGCAUUUGUCACCACGCCAAGAUGGCUUGAGUUUCAUCUCACAGGACCCACACUGUGGAAGGAGAGAAGCAACUGCUACAAGUUGUCCUCCGACCUCUAUGUGUACAUAUAUACUGUGGCAUGCAUGCCACUUCCAUCCCUACUUCCAAAAAAGAGAUAAAUCAAUUUUAAACAACCUGAGUGAGACUCAGACUGUGGAGGGAGACAAAGAAGAGGUGGCAUUUAGCCCUGUGACUGAGAAGGCAUGAGAGGAGGGAAUGGGACCUCCAGGCAGAACUGUGUUGGAGCAGUUCAUCUAUGUGUCCAACACAUUGCUACUGAGGCUCUACCCUGUGCCCGGAAGAUGGACAAAGUCCUGGUUCUCACAAGUCAACAGUCGGGGGAGAGAGAUGGACAGGUAAACAAUGAACAAAUGAGUUGACUUCAGAUCUAGGUGGAACAAUGGAAGAAAUAAAGAGAUGGCAUGGUUGAGUUCAGCAGAAGAAGAGUUGGGGAGAUCCUCGGGGACCUAUGUUGGUGGCCUUUGCCAGUCCUGCUUUGAUUCUUUGAACCUGGGGCCUCUGGUGGGAGUGGGGGCAGGGAGAAAGAGUACCUCUGCUCUGUAGAUGUUGGUGAGGAACCUAAGGAAGCCACUGCUCUAGCUGUUGGACUCCUUCUAGAGGUGCAGGGUGGGGCACGGCCCACACUCACCACAUUACAAAUGUGAAGGUCUCUGGGCUGCGCCAGGGCUCUGUGGGCACUUUGCAGCUGACUCCCACCAGCCCCUUCUCGCCAUCCGUGCCCUUCUUCCUCAGACUCCCCUCCCCAAGUCUGGAUAAGCAAUCACCCUUAAGAACGCCCAAGUGUGCCUGCUAUGGUCUCUAGGUAAGGGACUCCCAUUCCUGUUCUCAGUAGAACCUGAGUAGGACCUGGGGAAUGGCUGCUGUCAACAGCUCUGCGGAGCAGGAAGGAUGCUCAGCCCCGCUGUCAUUGUGGAAACGUAAGUCAGAACCACAAUGAGAUGCCACUUCAUAGCCAUCAGGAUGGUUAUUACAAAGCAAACAGAGAAUGACAAGUGUUGGCGAGGAGCCUGCCAGUGGGAAUAUGAACUGGUACAGUAGCUGUGGAGGAUGAAGCUGUGAUUCCUCAAAAACUAAACACAGAAUUAAUUAGGAUCCAGCCAUUCCUCUUCUAAGUAUAUUCCCAAAAGAAGCGAAAGUGGGGACGGAACGAGGUUUCCUGCACUCCCGUGUUCAUGGCAGCGUGGCUCGGGAUAGCUGUACGGCAGAAGCCAGCAUUGGUUAUUUUUCUCAUUGUGUGGUAAAAUGCCUAACAGAAACAGAGGGCAGGUUUGUGUUAGCUCAUAGUUCUCAGGGAAUACAACCCAUCAUGACAGGACAGCUUAGCCUGUGGCAGUAGAAACAGACUGCUUCACAUUGUGGCCAACCAAGAGACAGGUAGUAAAGGGGCAGUCAGGUGAGCUCUAUCCCUUAAGGACCUAUGCACAGUGAACUACAGCUGUCAAGUAGGCCCCGCCUCCCGAAGCUUCCACACCCUCUCAAAAUGGUAUCACUGGUUGACUGCCUGAGCUGUUGGUGACAUUUCAUAUGCAAACUGUCUCACAACCCAACAAUGGACAGAUGAGUGGAAAAAUAAAAUGCGGUUGGGCAUAAAGUGGAAUGUUACCCGGCCUCUAAGAGGAAGAACAUUUGACACAUAUUAUAACACGGAGGAGCCUUGAAGACACUAUGUGAGGUGGAGCAAGGCAGUCACAAAGGACACGCGUUGUACUAUUUCUUAUUUGUGAAGUUCCAUGGGUAGAAGAGUUCAUCCAC